rfam:Lupinus angustifolius cultivar Tanjil contig_12121, whole genome shotgun sequence.
GCCGAGCUUGGUAACUCUUGCUUGUGACCCAAGUGGGGGGAUCAAAGUGAUGGAACAUGACUAUGGUUUGUCUAGGUUGGGUUGGUGUAUGCUCCAUGUUAGCUUGCCCAUUCCAAGUUGAGAGUUGAGUCAUGGUGCUUGAGUGAAGGCUUGAGUGUCAUGACUCGUAGACAAGAGGGCAAAGCGUGAGGCUGGAUUCACAGAGCAGCGAACACUUCUGGCUCCUGACAGUGGAGGGAUCACAGGCUGCUGCAUUACCCAUCUCACAAUGCCUAGUGAGCCGAGCCACCUGAACCAUCACUUUU